rnacentral:rRNA from 1 species
UACGGAGGGUGCAAGCGUUGUUCGGAAUUAUUGGGCGUAAAGGGCAGGUAGGUGGUCUUUUAAGUCCCCUGUGAAAUCCCUGGGCUUAACCCGGGAAGUGCGGUGGAUACUGAAAGACUAGAGUGCCGGAUGGGUGCGUAGAAUUCUCGGUGUAGCGGUGAAAUGCGUAGAUAUCGAGAGGAAUACCAGAGGCGAAGGCGGCGCACUGGACGGCAACUGACACUCAACUGCGAAAGCGUGGGGAGCAAACAGGAUUAGAAACCCGAGUAGU